rnacentral:rRNA from 1 species
GUGAAUCAUCGAGUCUUUGAACGCACCUUGCACCUUUGGGGUAUUCCCUAGGGUAUGUCUGUCUGAGUGUUUAAUUUGAACUCUCAAAGUUCCUUUCCUUUAAUCAGGUUGGGAUGCUUUGGAUCAUGGGUGUUUGCGAGCUUCUGGCUUGCUCAUUUAAAUAGAAUGUAGCAUUUCUUCUCUGAAGCUGCUGGGCUUGACCUGGAGUUGAUAGAAGUCUUUCGAGAUCUCUGGGGAACUGUCUUUUGAUGGUGCCUGCUGUGGUAGAGGGAGUGUUUAGCAGACUUAUUUGACGUUUUUGACCUCAGAUCAGGCAGGAGUUACCCGCUGAACUUAAGCAUAUCAAUAAGCGGAGG